GAAGGCUUUGGGUUGUAAAGCUCUUUUGUAGGGGAAGAUAUGACUGUCCCUAAGAAUAAGGUCCGGCUAACUUCGUGCCAGCAGCCGCGGUAAUACGAAGGGACCUAGCGUAGUUCGGAAUUACUGGGCGUAAAGCGCGCGUAGGCCGUUGAGUUAGUUAAUUGUGAAAUCCCAAAGCUUAACUUUGGAACUGCAAUUAAAACUGCUCGACUAGAGUUUGAUAGAGGAAAGCGGAAUACAUAGUGUAGAGGUGAAAUUCGUAGAUAUUAUGUAGAACACCAGUUGCGAAGGCGGCUUUCUGGGUCAACACUGACGCUGAGGCGCGAAAGUAUGGGUAGCAAAGAGGAUUAGAUACCUCGUAGUCCAUACCAUAAACGAUGAUUUGCUAAGAUGUUGGAAAUUUAUUUUCAGUAUCGCAGCUAACGCAUUAAGCAAUCCGCCUGGGGAGUACGACCGCAAGGUUAAAACUCAAAUGAAUUGACGGGGACCCGGACAAGCGGUGGAGCAUGUGGUUUAAUUCGAAGAUACGCGCAGAGCCUUUACCCAAGCCCCUUUGGGGACCCUGGUCCUUGGUCCGGCGGAAGUUUUAAAGGGAAAAACCUUAAGAACCUCUUUACCGGGUUCCGGGCCCGGAACCGGAAACAACAAGGGUUGC
rnacentral:rRNA from 1 species